UCCACCCCACCCUUUUUUACUUUUAACGACACAAUAAUUUGAUUACUAGUGUCGUUGAAACCCAAAUUUGUAGUAGUGGUAAAGCCUCUACCCAUCUCAUUCUCGCCAAAACUUGGGAAAAGCUUUAUGCUAAAUCUAAUUAUAACUCUUCAGAUGAAGGAAUUAUGUUGAAGAUGUUUAUUGUUUACAGUCAUGUGUUGAAUUCCAAAGCUAUGCUUUGUUUUUUAAGUCUACUUCAUUAUCAACUACUUUUAGAGAAAUGACUCUUCACGGGAGAUAAAUAGCUCUUCAUUAGAGAAUAAUGAACAGGUAUGCAUCCUUGUAUGCAAGAUCUCUUCUAUUAAAGCUUAAAGAGGAUGGGAUUUAAUUUUUUACAUUAUAGUCGGCUCGUUGUGUAAUCUUUUCUUGAAUUUGUGCCAUUGUCAGUUUAGUAAAAAUUGAUGUUAUCUUCUUCUGUGGUACAGAUUUUGGACAACAGAAAAAAGAUAGAAUUGGAACAUUUUAAGUCAGUGAAGCCUUGGGGUUUGGUGAUGCUAGAAUGUGCAUUUUGUAGAAAUGUGUGGGAUUGAUCAAUACUUUGCAAUUAAGACAAUUGAUAAGGGUGUCAUGCUCAACCGCAACAAGAAUGAUUAAAGAUAUAUCGGGUUGAAAGCGAAGCGAUUGUGUAGAUAGCCAGACUAUUGUUGAAGGUUGAAGACUGAGAAGACGUUUAGAAUUUCUUGUUAAAGUCUUGUAUUAAGAUCUUGUUUCAUGUACUGUGUAGAAUGUAUAUAUA